rnacentral:rRNA from 1 species
GCCAGCAGGAGCGGUAAUACGAAGGCCCCAAGCGUUAUCCGGAAUUACUGGGCGUAAAGCGCGAGCAGCCGGUUUUGAUAGUCCGGUGUUAAAUCUCACUGCUUAACGGUGAGGCCGCAUCGGAAACGUCAACGCGUGCAUGGCACGCAGUUUAUAAAGUUUAAAGUUUUUAAAGUUUAUAAAGUAAAAAUCCCAAUACUUUAUAACUUUACGAACUUGAUGAACUUGUAACUUGCGCGCUGUGCGCGCAUCCAACUAGAGCGAGUCAGAGGCAAGCGGAACGUGCGGUGUAGGGGUGAAAUCCGUUGAUAUCGCACGGAACACCAAAAGCGAAGGCAGCUUGCUAGGGCUCUGCUGACGGUCAAUUGCGAAAGCGUGGGCAGAAAAAAGGAUUAGAUAAGUCCUGUUUUGUCAAGAUUGACAAAACGAAUGGUGUCCUCUCCAAUAGCGAUGUUGGGGUGUGCAUCCAGCUAUAUCGGGGAAACCCUAAUCAUGAUAAAAUAUAAGGGUAAUCCCGAGGGAAGUCUCAUUGUAAUGAGACCCCGUAGAGACUAUGUAAUUAUUGAAAUAGAAAAUGAUUAACUCAUCAUUUUUGUCGGACAGAAGCAAAGAAAUUAUCUUAGGUUCAUUACUUGGCGAUGGAUCAUUAAAGAUCCAUUCAGGAUAUAAGAAUGCGCGAUUUUCGUUUCGCCAUUCUAUUCGUCAGAAAGACUAUUUUUUCUGGAAAGCAAAAGAACUUCAAGAGAUUUCAGGAAAUUCAUAUUUCUGGAAACAAAAGCCGGACGGUUUUGGCGGAGAAAAAUUAAGAUAUCAAAGUCUUGCUCUUAGCCAACUGACCGAGCUGUAUAAUCUUACUCACCAAAGAGAUGAAUUUGUAGCUCAACCGGAAUGGUUGAAACUGCUUACCCCUCUUUCUUUGGCAGUAUGGUGGUUAGAUGACGGUUCGCUUAUAGUGAACAGCUGUCGCGGUGUAAUAUGCACCGAUCCGUUUCCAUAUGAAUUUCAACAGGCAUUAGCUGACUACUUAAAUAAGACAUGGAAAAUAAAAGUCAAAGUCGGCAAAAUAAAACGAAACUGGAAUGGCGAAAUAAGAGAAUAUUAUCGCUUAUGGAUCAGAUCCGGAGAAGAAUUAAAGAAACUUAUUAGACUGAUCCUGCCCCAUGUUAAAGUUGCCUCAAUGCUACCAAAAGUACUGUUUCUGUAUCGUAACUCUGAAUUACAACAACGCUGGAUUUCUGAAGUCAGUGUGUCAACAGGAUUUUCACACGACCUUAUCCAAAAGCAUGUUGAUGAGAAAAAGAGCAGGUGGAAACACUUCAGAAAAUGAUAUAGUCCGAUCCUCCAGGUAACUGGAGAAACACUGGAAGCAGUGUAUUAGUUAAAUAUACAAGAUGACCCUUGUAUUCCACGCCCUAAACGAUGCAGACUAGCUAUCGGGAGCAUCGACCCUCUCGGUGGCGUAGCUAACGCGUUAAGUCUGUCGCCUGGGAAGUACGAUCGCAAGAUUAAAACUCAAAGAAAUAGACGGGGAUCCGCACAAGCGGUGGACCAUGUGGUUCAAUUCGAUAGUAAGCGAAGAACCUCACCAGGGUUAGAAAUCCGGCUGCACACCCGCCGAAAGGCGGGAGCCUUCGAGGGUGCCGGACAGGUAUUGCACGGCCGUCGUCAGCUCGUUCCGUGGGGAGUUCCAUUAAGUUGGGAAACGAGCGCAACCCCUAUUGCGUGUUACAAGUGUCACGCGAGACUGCCCAGCCCUUUGCGCACAAGCGCAAAGGGAAAUCAUAAAUCCUAAUCUCUAAAUCCUAAACAAAUCCAAAAUUUCAAAUUCAAAUUUCAAAAGUGUUUUGAUAUUUGGAUUUUGGAAAUUAGAUAUUGUUUAGAGUUUGGGAUUUAGAAUUUUGAAUUUUCUUUGUUCGUCUGCGAACAAAGGGCUGGGAGGAAGGUGGGGAUGACGUCAGGUCAGCGUGGUCCUCUGACACCCUGGGCUACACACGUGGUACAAUGGGCGGUACAAUGGGUCGCCAAGUCGCAAGACGGAGCCAAUCCCAUCAAAGCCGUCCUCAGUUCGGAUAAGAGGCUGCAACUUGCCUCUUUGAAGCUGGAAUCGCUAGUAAUCGCAGAUCAGAACGCUGCGGUGAAUACGUUCUCGGAUCUUGUAC